GUGGUCAAGCUAGUAAGGGCGGACGGAGGAUGCCUAGGCGCCGGGAAGCGACGAAGGACGUGGCAAGCUGCGAAAAGCCGCGGGGAGCCGCAAGCAGGCCGAGAGCCGCGGAUAUCCGAAUGGGGGAACCUGGGCGGGGUCAUGCCCGCUCGUGGCUGGCUGAAUAGAUAGGCUAGCGCACGCGAACCGAGGGAACUGAAACAUCUCAGUACCUCGAGGACAAGAAAUCAAGCGAGAUGGCCCGAGUAGCGGCGAGCGAAAGGGCUGGAGCCUAAACCAGGGUCGAGCGAUCGGCCCUGGGGUUGCGGGGCUCGUACGGGGGCAACCCGGGGAGUCAGAAAGUCAGCCGCCAGUCGAAGGCCGUGGGAGCGGCCACCACAGAGGGUGACAGUCCCGUAGACGAAGGCGAGCUGGCCUCCCUGGUACGAGUACCCAAGUACCACGGGGCACGUGCAAUCCCGUGGGAAUCCGGGGGGACCACCCUCCAAGGCUAAACAUUCCCCGGCGACCGAUAGUGAACGAGUACCGUGAGGGAAAGGCGAAAAGAACCCCGGUGAGGGGAGUGAAAGAGAACCUGAAACCGUCUGCCUACAAGCGGUGGGAGGGCAAUACGCGGGGGGAGACUCCCGUGGAGGCCUGACCGCGUGCCUUUUGCAUAAUGAGCCGGCGAGUAACGGGGUGUGGCGAGGUUAAGGGCGGGAGGCCCGGAGCCGGAGCGAAAGCGAGUCCGAACAGGGCGGAAAGUCGCACACCGUUGACCCGAAGCCGAGUGAGCUACCCCUGGCCAGGGUGAAGCCGCUGUAAGAGGCGGUGGAGGCCCGAACCGGUGUUGGUUGAAAACAGCUCGGAUGAGCUGGGGGUGGGAGUGAAAGGCUAAUCAAACUCGGAGAUAGCUGGUUCUCCCCGAAAUAGCUUUAGGGCUAGCCUCGGACGUGAGGGCGGGUGGUAGAGCACUGAAUGGGCUAGGGGCCCGACCAGGUUACCAACCCCAAUCAAACUGCGAAGGCCCGUUCAUCGAAGUCCGGGAGUCAGACGACGUGGGAUAAGCUGCGUGGUCGAGAGGGCAACAACCCAGAUCGUCAGCUAAGGUCCCGAAGUGAGUGCUGAGUGGGAAACGAUGUGGCGGCGCGCAGACAGCCAGGAGGUUGGCUUAGAGGCAGCCAUCCUUUAAAGAGUGCGUAACAGCUCACUGGUCAAGCGGCGCUGCGCGGACAAUUCAACGGGGCUAAGCACUCCACCGACGCUGCGGCUUGCGGAGGGAGACCUCCGGAGGGGUAGGGGAGCAUUCCGCGCUAGGGAGAAGGCCGACCGCGAGGACGGCUGGACGAGGCGGAAGCGAGAAUGCCGGCACGAGUAGCGAGAACGCAGGUGAAAACCCUGCGCGCCGAAAGCCCAAGGGUUCCUGGGGAAGGUCAAUCCGCCCAGGGUUAGGCGGCCCCUAAGCGGAGGCCGAGAGGCGUACGCGAAGGACAACAGGUGAACAGUCCUGUUCCGCGGGUUGGGCGUUUGAGCGAUGGGGGGACGGAGGAGGCUAAGCACCGCCGGGGGGUGGAAAUCCCGGUCCAAGUGCGUAGGGUGUCGCUGCAGGAAAAUCCGCAGUGGCGCGGGCGAGCCGCAAGCCUGAAACACGAUGGGGAGCCCUUCGGGGCACAAACGGGCUGAGGCCAGACUUCCCAGAAAAACCUCUAGCGAGUCCGACCGGCGACCGUACCGGAAACCGACACAGGUGGGCGAGGAGAAGAUCCACAGGCGCUCGGGAGAACUCUCGCGAAGGAACUAGGCAAACUAACCCCGUAACUUCGGGAGAAGGGGUGCUCCGGUAGGGUGCUGAGCCCGAGGGAGCCACAGUAAAGAGGGCCAAGCGACUGUUUACUAAAAACACAGGGCUCUGCAAACUCCGAAGAGGAGGUAUAGGGCCUGACGCCUGCCCGGUGCCGGAAGGUUAAGGGGAGAUGUCAGCCGCAAGGCGAAGCAUUGAACCAAAGCCCCGGUAAACGGCGGCCGUAACUAUAACGGUCCUAAGGUAGCGAAAUUCCUUGUCGGGUAAGUUCCGACCUGCACGAAUGGCGUAACGACUUGGCCGCUGUCUCCGCGAGAGACCACCCGGUGAAACUGUAGCGCCAGUGAAGAUGCUGGCUACCCGCGACUAGACGGAAAGACCCCGUGAACCUUUACUGUACCUUGGCCUGGGACUUUGGUGGAGUCUGUGCAGGAUAGGUGGGAGGCUGCGAAGCCGGGUCGCUAGACUCGGUGGAGCCGACGGUGAGAUACCACCCUGACUGUGCUGGAGUUCUAACCGAGCCCCCUGAGCGGGGGUGGGGACAGGGCCAGGAGGGCAGUUUGACUGGGGCGGUCGCCUCCUAAAGAGUAACGGAGGCGCUCGAAGGUGGGCUCAGCACGGUUGGAAAUCGUGCGGUGAGUGUAAGGGCAGAAGCCCGCUUGACUGCGAGACGGACAGGUCGAGCAGGAGCGAAAGCUGGACCUAGUGAUCCGGUGGUGCUGCGUGGAAGGGCCAUCGCUCAACGGAUAAAAGGUACUCCGGGGAUAACAGGCUGAUCUUGCCCAAGAGUUCACAUCGACGGCAAGGUUUGGCACCUCGAUGUCGGCUCAUCGCAUCCUGGGGCUGGAGCAGGUCCCAAGGGUUGGGCUGUUCGCCCAUUAAAGCGGUACGUGAGCUGGGUUUAGAACGUCGUGAGACAGUUCGGUCCCUAUCUGUCGCGGGCGGAGGAGAGUUGACGGGAGCUGCCCCUAGUACGAGAGGACCGGGGUGGACGGACCUCUAGUGAGCGAGUUGUGGCGCCAGCCGCAGUGCUCGGUAGCUAAGUCCGGCAGGGAGAAGCGCUGAAGGCAUCUAAGCGCGAAACCCGCCUGAAGAUGAGCUCUCCCGGACGCAAGUCCCGGAAGGCCCCUGGGAGAUGACCAGGUAGAUAGGCCGGAGGUGGACGCGCCGUGAGGCGUGGAGCUGACCGGUACUAAUCGGCCGAGCGGCUUGACCAC
rnacentral:rRNA from 1 species